rnacentral:rRNA from 1 species
AUACGGAGGGUGCAAGCGUUAUUCGGAAUCACUGGGCGUAAAGGACGCGUAGGCGGGUUGGCAAGUCAGAUGUGAAAUCCUACAGCUUAACUGUAGAACUGCAUUUGAAACUGCUAACCUAGAGUAUGGGAGGGGGAGAUGGAAUUAGUGGUGUAGGGGUAAAAUCCGUAGAUAUCACUAGGAAUACCGAAAGCGAAGGCGAUCUCCUGGAACAUAAUUGACGCUAAGGCGUGAAAGCGUGGGGAGCAAACAGGAUUAGAAACCCUAGUAGUCC